rnacentral:rRNA from 1 species
UACGUAGGGGGCUAGCGUUGUCCGGAUUUAUUGGGCGUAAAGAGCGUGUAGGCGGCCAGAUAGGUCUGCUGUGAAAACUCGAGGCUCAACCUCGAGAUGUCGGCGGAAACCAUUUGGCUAGAGUCCGGAAGAGGAAAGUGGAAUUCCUGGUGUAGCGGUGAAAUGCGCAGAUAUCAGGAAGAACACCCGUGGCGAAGGCGGCUUUCUGGGACGGUACUGACGCUGAGACGCGAAAGCGUGGGGAUCAAACAGG